rnacentral:lncRNA from 12 species
GAAAAUUCAGAGUGCUAGGGAAUCCUCCAGGAGAGAGCAAAGUACAUAGCAAUGAUAGUGCUCACAAAUUCAAAGCAUUGUACAUGAUUAAAUCACCUCUGAAGCAGCUCCAAGUGAUAUGUCCUAGUGAAGAGAUUCCAGUGACUGAAAUGCUUCUCACACACCAGCAGGCAGGGAAUACAAUUAAGGGAAGAAAGUAAGAACAGCAAGGACAAAUUGUGGCUUCAGGGUAUGCAUCCAGAUGCUCCUAAUGGAUUGUUCUGCCCUACAAUUGCUCUCUGGCCACAUGGGCAGCCUGUCUGGGCAGGGAAGCAGAGCUUUGAGACACAAAAGGAACAAUAGGUUAUGUGGAUUGUGAUUUUUUCUCUGUUGCAGGAGCAGUUUGAAGGAGGACACCCAGCUCUGUGCACAGAUUUCCAGCAAUGUUCCCUGCACACAGGAGCAGGAUCUAAGGGGCAAGUCUUGGGGAUCGCUCCUGUUUCUCCUUCAGACGUGGUCAGGUGGGACUGGGAGUUUGACCUGCCUCCAAU